rnacentral:pre_miRNA from 1 species
GCGCUUUAGCUGGUAAACGGGAACCAAAUCGUGGCCUUGUGUGGAUUUGGUCCCCUUCAACCAGCCGUAGCACAGCAUUCU